UUCCACCAUGAUUGUGAGGCCUCCCCAGCCAUAUGGAACUGUGCCUCACUCUAGUCCUGACCCUGUUACCACCAAAAUAUCCCCACUGAGGAACUUCUAGUGAAUAUAUUUCAAGAAGAAGGGAACUAACCCCAGGAAGAAGACUGAAAGCUUCAUGAGGAUAAACUGAGACUCUUCGCUAUUGAAAUUCUAUUGCCAGGCGCAUCCCCCAGCCCACAGUGAAUGGAAUUGGAUUAUUCUGAAGCACAAUCAGUAUUCCAAGUACAUGGUUUCUGUAAUGGGAUAAUUGGCUGCCCCUGGUCCUAGACAACACCUGAAGUUUAAUUUCUCUGAAAGGCUCUGCCUUGAGCUUGCUUUAAAACCUGCAAUUAUAAGGAGACACCUAAUGAGACCAGGAGGAAACUUCUACACCGCACAGCUAUUUUUAAAAAAUGGGAUUAACAGGAGAAAAUGUCAAACAGGGGGAUCUCCAUGUUUCUGCAAUGCAUGACAGGUUACCCAGCGUUCCAAAUAAGCAUGCUGUCCUUAGCACACAUCUGGUGGGCUGCAUUCCUGGGGUCCCUGGGCUGUCUGACCUUGCCUGAGAUGUGUGACUGGAUCUCAUCUGGCUGGGGGUCCUCUGGCUGGUGCUCCCAAGCCUGGAAUGCCUCCUGGUCACGGUCAACAGAGAAGUGCUCCAGGAAAGGUCACGGAGUUUGGAGGCAGAGCUCUGACCCCAACCCCUACACGGCAGCAUUUCCAAGAGAGGUUUGUUUUCCUCCCCAAGCACAUUAUGGGUAAUGACUUGGAUUGUGGAAAUUGCAAACAGCAUGUGUCAUAAUGAAUAUUUUGACUUGGAACACAGCAUUCUCUGUGAAUCCUAAUGUCUGCAGAAACUCAAGGGGUGACAGAAAAAUCUAUCAUGAAAGUACCAUUCACACAGUGUAGCUAUCAAUGGGAAUUUAAUUAAAGAAACAUUUAUUUAGUGCCUGCUGUGUACCUAGCACCAUGCUGAGCACUUAGGAUAUGAGGAGGAGGAUGGGGGUAGGAGAAGAGACAGAAUCAAUAUGUAAGUUUAUGAGUAAACACAGGUGCUUCUGCACAGAACAGUGCAGAAGUAGAACAAUGACCAAUGUGGUAGAAGCCGAUUGGGACUCAGGACCUAGUGUUUCCAAGAUGAAUCAGCAAACACCCCGAUCCAGUGGCUCAUUUCUAAUCAGUCUGCCUCCAUUAAUUACGAUCCCCACGGCUCACUGUCUUCUUGGCUGAAGCAAACCCCCAAGAGUGUAACUGCUCUAACCGAAUAACUGUACUCCCCUACUUCUGGGAGGGCAAAACCAAGAAGGUGAGGGCAUGUGGGGAGGAGGAUAGGGGUGGGAGAGAGGACAGAGAGAAUCAAUACAUAAGUAAACCCAGUGGCCUCUGCACAGAACUGAGGAUAAAAGUAUUUGCAUUUUAUAGGGCUUCUGUAUGUGUGUUGCGUUUGACCCUCACAAACAACCAAAGUAGCUAUUACUGUUUCCUUUAUACAGUUGAGAAAACUGACAUUCAGAGAGGAGAGGUACAUUGUCAAGGUUCACACAGCCAGCAAACCUCCAAACCAGGGCGGAACGAGGUUUUCUGUCUGCAGCCCUGCAGGCUGCAUGCUCCAGCAGGGAGCUCCAAACUUCCUCCAUGGUUCCCGCAGGGUCCUUCCCCAUCCCGCCUGCCCAGGGCUCCUCCUCUUUCCUGGGGAGAGCUCACUGCAAAGUCAGUGUCAUCUCACGUGUUGAGGAAGUGACUGCCCCCUCUUCUACCCAUCAGACAUGAGAGCACUUGUUUGUUAUCUGAUAACUGAUUUCACUCCCAUCCCUUCAUGUCAAUAACUUCACACAAAACGCCCUACAGCUGCUGAAAGCACUGAGUGCAAGAAGGCCAGGUGAACUGGGGGAAAUAACGUCCUGCUCACAUACUCCUUAAAUUUCUAUGCUAGCUACUCAAGUUUUAUGGAGUUAAUUUAAGACGUAUACCCUGCAUUCAUUCAAAAGGUUUGACAUAGCGAGUUUGGAUGCACGACAAAUUGAUAUUCAAGGAUGAAACAGAAUAAACAUCACCUAAAAGCAAGGGGCCCAUGAGCUGAUUUCUAUCAUCUAAUGCUAAGCUUUUUGAAAGCCAAGGAAAGUUUUUGAAAUGUCAUCUUCCAAUGAAAGAAGAAAUGCAAACUCAUGUCUUGGAAUAGGGACUAAACUCAAGCCUGGACUCAUCACAAGGGUCUUUGGAUAAAAACUGAUCUAUAACCCAAGGGGCCACAGCUUGGAGUGCAUGGACACCCCUUUUAUCCCAUCCCCCACAGGGUGCCCCACUUCUCCGCAGACAGUCACACGGCAGGAAGGAGUUUCUCACCUGAGACCUUGGUGACACCAACUCCACAAGAGAAAGCAGAGCCCAGAGCAAAACAGGGAGCUGGGUCCAAGUGUGUGAUCCAAGGAGGAGACAGAAGCAGAUUGCAGCCCUAGAAGUGGAGAGGCAGGGGGCUGGGAGCGGGAGCUGUCGGUGAGGAGGGCACACUGGGCAAGGUGGAAGGGCUGAGCUGCGGGACGCAUCAGAUUCCAUGGACCACUGUGGUGACGUGAUGGGCAGGGAGCUAAACUGAAACUCAGAGGUGCAUUUCUACUAAGACCGGGGUGCAGAAUCCCCUGGUGAUUGAGUCAGAGUGAAGACAGAUUCUGGAGAACACAGACGCUGUCCUGCGCUGCACUCACCCCACUUACGUGUGGGCUGAGUCCUAAGGCCAUUGAUCCAGGCCAAAGCCCUGCCCAGCUUUACUCCUUGGGGCUUGAGACGACAAAGUCCAGCCCUGUGACCUGGUUGCCAUCUCUCAUAGCCACUGAAGGGCAGGAUAAGGGUGGGGGUCAGGGAUGGGAAGUCCCACCCACAUGCUCCUGUCCCAAGCCUCAGGGCACACUCCACUUGGCCCCCAGCUCAGCUAAGACUAAAUUCUGGCUCCCGCCCCAGCCACCCAUCCUUAGUUUUAGAUGUAACCAACAAAAAGAAGUGAAUCAAGUGUCUUGAACCAGAUGCUCUCCCCGAGCUCUUCCCUCCCUCUGCCCACAGCUCAGGAUCUCUUCCUAGGCUAUACUUGGGAAUGGCUCAGUGCCAUGGGCCCCAAACCUGGCUGCACACUGGAGCUAUCUGGGCUGCUCAUUGAUGGUGCAGAUGCUAGGCCCCUCUACAGAGCUGCUGAUUCUGUAGCGUCAGGCCUGAUGCCAGCAGACAUGUUUUGAGUGAGCAAUCCAGGUGAUUCUAAUACAUGGUCAGGCUGGGGAAUCACGUAUCCAAGGGCUAAUGUGCGGUUUCACCACCUACCAGCUGGUGGUGUUAGCAGGAGCCUCUACUCUUUGCCCGGCCACAUUUUUCCUGUUUAUAAAAGUGCCCUGGAUAAUGUCUGAGGUCUGAGCUGCCUCUAACCACCUGUUUGUCCCCAGGGUGGCCUCACUGGUGCCUGUGGCCCUCCUUUCUUCACAUUCCCCUGGGAGCUGGUCUGAGGGGAGGAGAGGGCAGAAGCCCAGGGCUGGCAGGGCACCAGCACAUCCCCGACCUCCUGGAGACCUCGGCCAGGUCCCUUCCCCUCUCUGGGCCUCGGUUCAGGGUAAACCUGUGGGGAGGUCAGCAGGUAACCACCCCUUUGUCUUUCCUUUUCUGGGGGAUGUUUUUCUGGGCAGAGAGCAAAGCACCCUGAAGCAAAGCCCAGAACCCUGGGUGGGAGUUCACCCUUGUGGC
rnacentral:lncRNA from 1 species